rnacentral:rRNA from 1 species
AGUGAACGCUGGCGGUAGGCCUAACACAUGCAAGUCGAACGGCAGCACAGUAAGAGCUUGCUCUUACGGGUGGCGAGUGGCGGACGGGUGAGGAAUACAUCGGAAUCUACUUUUUCGUGGGGGAUAACGUAGGGAAACUUACGCUAAUACCGCAUACGACCUACGGGUGAAAGCAGGGGAUCUUCGGACCUUGCGCGAUUGAAUGAGCCGAUGUCGGAUUAGCUAGUUGGCGGGGUAAAGGCCCACCAAGGCGACGAUCCGUAGCUGGUCUGAGAGGAUGAUCAGCCACACUGGAACUGAGACACGGUCCAGACUCCUACGGGAGGCAGCAGUGGUGAAUAUUGGACAAUGGGCGCAAGCCUGAUCCAGCCAGACCGCGUGGGUGAAGAAGGCCUUCGGGUUGUAAAGCCCUUUUGUUGGGAAAGAAAAGCAGCAGGUUAAUACCCCGCUGUUCUGACGGUACCCAAAGAAUAAGCACCGGCUAACUUCGUG